AGGUUGGAGUGCAAUGGUACAAUCUCAGCACAUUGCAACCUGUAUCUCCUGGGUUCAAGUGAUUGUCCUGCCUCAGCCUCCUGAGUAGUUGGAAUUACAGCCUUACAUGAGAGCUUUCAAAAUGAAGAUCUGACAUCCCAGUGAAGUAAAAAGGCUUCUAUUUCAUCUUGAGGUUACAGAGAAAAUAUGAGCUUGGAUCCUGGUAAAACAGGCCUCCUGGAGUCACAAAGCCUGGAGCAACAAGAGAACCACUAAAGAAGAAGAAACAGCUAGUUCCUGCCUUAACUGAUUAACCAAAUUUGCAACAUUCCACCAUUGUGAUAUGUUCCUGCCCUACCCUAACUAAUCAGUCGACCUUGUGAUAUCGUGCCUUGUGACCUCCCCCUACCUGGUGACUAUGCAUCUUAUGACAUUGUUCCCCUGCCCAAAAAAACUGCCCCUAACUGUAACUUUCCUCUACCUACCCCAAACCUAUAAAACCAGUUCCACUCCCA